GACGAACGCUGGCGGCGUGCCUAAUACAUGCAAGUAGAACGCUGAAGGAGGAGCUUGCUUCUCUGGAUGAGUUGCGAACGGGUGAGUAACGCGUAGGUAACCUGCCUGGUAGCGGGGGAUAACUAUUGGAAACGAUAGCUAAUACCGCAUAAGAGUAGAUGUCGCAUGACAUUUGCUUAAAAGGUGCAAUUGCAUCACUACCAGAUGGACCUGCGUUGUAUUAGCUAGUUGGUGAGGUAACGGCUCACCAAGGCAACGAUACAUAGCCGACCUGAGAGGGUGAUCGGCCACACUUGGACUGAGACACGGCCCAGACUCCUACGGGAGGCAGCAGUAGGGAAUCUUCGGCAAUGGACGGAAGUCUGACCGGGCAACGCCGCGUGAGUGAAGAAGGUUUUCGGAUCGUAAAGCUCUGUUGUAAGAGAAGAACGAGUGUGAGAGUGGAAAGUUCACACUGUGACGGUAUCUUACCAGAAAGGGACGGCUAACUACGUG
rnacentral:rRNA from 1 species